rnacentral:rRNA from 1 species
GUAAUUAUGCCGUCAGGUGGAUGGCUCGGCUCAAGCGCUGAUGAAGGACGUGCCAAGCUGCGAUAAGCUCAGGGUAGACGCAUGGAAUCUAUGAACCUGAGAUUUCCUAAUGAGACCUCUUAGCACAUUUGUGCUGAUCAGUCAUGAUCGGGAACGCCCCGAAUUGAAACAUCUUAGUAGGGGCAGGAAGAGAAAUCGAAGAGAUGCCGUUAGUAAUGGCGAAUGAACCCGGCAAAGUUCAAACUGAAUCCCUCCAGUAAUGUGAGGGAGAUGUGGUGUUAUAGGAACUUUCUAAGGUUCCGACCUUUUCUUAGCUGAACUUUUCUGGAACGUUAGACCGUAGAGUGUGAAAGUCACGUAAGCAAUGAAAAGAGGAACUGGAAAUGUUCCUGAGUACCGUGUGUUGGAAAUCACGCGGGAAUUUGGGAGGCACCAACUUCCAAAACUAAAUACGUCUUGAGACCGAUAGCGAAGUAGUAGGGUGACCGAAAACUGAAAAGUACCCCCAAAAGGGAGGUUAAAAGUGCCUGAAACCUGAUGGUGAUGGAGCGAUAUGGCAUGAAAGGAUCUUUGGAUCGAAGGAAUCAACCGCGAGGUUGUAGUACGAGUUCCAAUGCCGAUGUCAUAUCAUACGUUUUGAAGAACGGGCCAGGGAGUGUAUCUAAGUGGCGAUGGCUAACCUUUUAUCUGGGAAGCCGAAGCGAAAGCAACAAGCACGCAACCCUUUACGGGGUGAGGUGCGGCGUAUACAAGUGCGUGGAGUCACUAAGUUACGACCCGAAGCCGGGUGAUCUAGGCGUGGGCAGGUUGAAGCGUGGCGAAAGCUACGUGGAGGACCGCAAGCGGUAUUGAUCUGCAAAUCAUUCGUGUGACCUGCGUCUCGGAGUGAAAGGCUAAUCUAACCCGGCAUCAGCUGGUUCCUUCCAAAACAUGUCGCAGCAUGACCUAACUGGAGAUAGUCGGUGGAGUAGAGCACUGAUUGGUGGUCCCGGGGAAGAAAUUCCUCAACCGCUUGUCAAACUCCGAACCCACCGUCGUCGUAGAAGGUUGGAGUCCGGGCUACUGGGGUAAGCUUGUAGUCCGUAAGGGAGACAACCCAGCCCGUGGUUAAGGUCCCUAAGUGUCGACUAAGUGUUAAUACUAAAGGGCGUCCUAAGCCCUAGACAGCUGGAAGGUUAGCUUAGAAGCAGCUAUCCUUUAAAGAGUGCGUAACAGCCCACCAGUCGAGGUUUGGGGCCCCGAAAAU